AGUGAACGCUGGCGGUAGGCCUAACACAUGCAAUUCGAACGGCAGCACAGUAAGAGCUUGCUCUUACGGGUGGCGAGUGGCGGACGGGUGAGGAAUACAUCGGAAUCUACUUUUUCGUGGUGGCUAACGUAGGGCAACUUACGCUAAUACCGCAUACGACCUACGGGUGAAAGCAGGGGAUCUUCGGACCUUGCGCGAUUUAAUGAGCCGAUGUCGGCUUAGCUAGUUGGCGGGGUAAAGGCCCACCAAGGCGACGAUCCGUAGCUGGUCUGAGAGGAUGGCCAGCCACAAUGGAAAGGGGAAACGGCCCAAAACCCUAGGGGAGGAAGAAGUGGGGAAUAUUGGAAAAUGGGGGAAAGCCUGAGCCAGCCAUACCGGGGGGGGGAAGAAGGCCUUCGGGUUGUAAAGCCCUUUUGUUGGGAAAGAAAAGCAGCAGGUUAAUACCCCGCUGUUCUGACGGUACCCAAAGAAUAAGCACCGGCUAACUUCGU
rnacentral:rRNA from 1 species